UGAACCGGAAAAGGAAAAACUCAAUGACUACAAUGGAGUAGAUCAGGAGAAAAUGCCGCCAUACAUAAAACUUUUUUUGUCGCCAGCGCCGAGACGAGGUUUUAUAAUUGUUGCGUUGACAGUCGCAGUUCAGAUACUUCUCGUCACAUCGUCAGCAGUUGCAACGCUCUGCUUAUUGGGUAUGGGCGUUAUAAUGCACACAAAUCUGGUCC